rnacentral:tRNA from 1 species
GGGGCGGUGCCUGCAGAGUGCUCAUAACCGCCGGUCGUGGGUUCGAGCCCCACCCGCCCCA